CCCUAUAUAUCAUCCUGUCCAGAAGCUCUACGCCAUAAUGGUGUGAAAGAGGCUUUGCUUUGGAGCUAAGCCCAGCUGAGUUUCAAUUUUGGAUUCUCUGGAUCACUACAAGAACGAGCAAGGACAUGCCGGGGACCCUCCAUGGACCCCAGUUUCCUCACCUGUAAACUGGAGACAUCAAUAGAGAGGCAUUUCACCAUCUGGAGCAGUUUCGGGGCGUUUUUCCCAAGGAAGACAGCAAAGAACUGGUGCAUCCCUUGAAGAGGGUUAAAGCGGAGCAGAGCCCAGUUACAGACGUGGAACUCAAUUCAGAUCGCUCACUCCACCAUCUCGACCUCUUAAAUUCAAGAGAGCUUCCCUCUGACCAUGAAAAAGCACCUGAGGUUACAUGAGAAACAUUAGCUGGUGCAUAAAGCUGUCAAACUCCCGAGAAGAACUGGCCCAAAGCAGACACUCCAAAAGACAAAGAUUGAGGAGCCCACAGGAGAUUAAAGGAAGCAUUUUUCACCUUCCAGUGUGGAAGAAUGCCCAGUAACGGCCAGAAAAAGACCCAAGGAGGUCCAUCAAGAUGACUUGACAUCCGAGUCAAGGUAAAUUAGGCAGAGGAGAAAGCAUAGCGAAGAAGAAAAAAAAUGAUCAAAACCCCACCUCCUAGACCCAAAUGUGGUGAUGACCUUUAACUGGGGGGCGAUGGAGGAGGCCUCCCCUCCCCAGUGACCCAGGGGUAAGAAGCAAGGCAGGAGGGGUUCUGGAGUAUCUUCAGCUAAUCUGGGGGCUGUUUUUCCCACUCCCGAAGCCUGUGCCUUAACUUGCUUAGACUUGCUGCUUGCUUAGACUCUGCUUGGACCAGCUGGCUUGUGCAGGAACAAAGAUCAUAAAACCUGUCAAUGCCAGGCGAUUAAGCGCUGUGAUUUUAAGGACUUCUCUCUUCCCAGGUUUUGCCACCUUCCACUGAUGUUUUCACUCCACGAGGCAAGGAUAAGAGAAUGUGGGGGCCAUCCAGGAGCCCCAUAGUGUCACCGGCUCCACUGCAUGGGGGUCACACGAGAAUUCUGAGACAGUGUUUUAAGCACUGGCUCUCUGUGAUCCUUUGCCUUAGAUUCCCAUCCAAUUAGGGCAGGUGUCUGCUCUCCCUGAUGAACACCUAUUCUAAGGUCCAGAAUUUUUAUUUUGAUACCAAGAGAAUCUCACUUCCCGCAGGCUUGUACAUUGAUUCUAUUUUCGGGAGGUAAUUUUUACACUUGAAAGGCCCACUUUCACAUCAUGCUGUUGAUCUGAAGGCACAACCAGAGCAUAAAAGAAAGAGAGAGAAAGACGAAUGGGUCUUCAAAUCCACUUCUGGGGGCCCACGUCUCCCAAACAGCACGGUCAGUUACGUCGAUGAGCACAAAGGCUGUACUUUUCCUCUUCAAGGAGCCACUGGUGAGUGGCCUCAGCGGAGGGCUGCGAUGGGUUCUUCCCGUGUAGGUGUCCUGUCUGUAAUUGUCACUAAUGCACAUUCAUUAGAUAUUUCAUUAGCUAAGCCAAAAACCUAUAUCCUAAUCUUUAGCUGAAAACAUCUCUGAAUUAGAUCAUGAAAAUUAGAAUAAAACUCAUUCGCCGGUGGCAAUUAAUGAGUCAUGACUAACGA